GCUGGUUCAGAUUUUCAGCUGGAAACAUUAAUAUGUUCAUUUUCAAAUAUUUGUUAUUACUAUGGAACUAAUAUUAAUCUGCAAAAUGGAAAAGUGAAGCUGAAAAAACUAGAAGCAGCUUUUGUCUCCUUCUGCUCGAAAAUAAGGAGCCAUUUUGUUUCAUAAAAGUCUAGGCAGAUCUGGCUGCAGACAAGAUGGCGGAUGUCUGAGUAGGCACUAAUGUUUAUUUUAUCAGGAGCAUCAAGGAGUUACGACAUCAACCAAGGCCACAUACUACAGGAUUUACAGCCGAAGCUGUUUAUGAACCUGCAAAAUUACAUAUUCACAAAUGUAUAUUUAGUAAUUUAGUCAUGUAAAUGUUGAAAUGAAGAACUCAUUUUGUUUCAAAUCAUUCUGGCGGGAGAUUCCGCUCCUUGGCAACAGUGACGAAGUGGGACGGUUAAUCUCGCGUGAGUUUACAAAUAACCGCGAGAAAACGGAGGUGGCAUUUGAACUGAGUCAGAAAUGCGGUCCCGUCAGUCACAGAGGAGACCUGCUGGAUUUCACUGAACCAGGACCACUACAGUACGGGAUGGAGGAGAACCAGAACCCGGAGCACCGCAACCACCGACAACCCCCGUGUUACCAACAGGUCAUAAACAGAAACAACAAGAGGGGAAGGGACUCAAACAUCACCGCUGUCAGCACUGUCACAAAGCCUUCACAAAAUCAAGAUAUUUAAAGAUUCAUCAGAGUUCACACACAAGAGAAACUUCACAGCUGUGACCAAUCACUGGAGACCGUAAUCGAAAAAGGCACCAACGCAUUUAUAGUGGAGAAAAACCAUACAACUGUGACCAAUGUGGGAAAGCUUUCACUGCAGACGAUUGUCUUAAAGUCCACUAAUGCAUUCAUACUGGAGAGAGUCCGUACAGCUGGGACCAAUGUGGGAAAGCUCUCACUCAACCAAGUAAUCUAAAAAGAAACCAGCGCAUCACACUGGAGAGAAGCCGUACAGCUGUGUAAUGUGGGAAAGCUUUCACUAGAGACGAUGUUCUGAAAGCACACCAACUGACUCAUACCGGAGAGAAACCAUACUGGUGUGACCAAUGUGGGAAAACUUUCACCUCAAACAAAGACAUAAAAGUCCACCAAUGUAUUCACAUGGGAGGGAAACCAUACUGGUGUGAGCAAUGUGGGACAGCUUUUACUACAGGCAGAACUCUAAAAGUCCAUUGAUGCAUUCAUUCGGGAGAUAAACCAUACUUUUGUGAGCAAUGUGGGAAAGCUUUCCUUAGAGACUGGGCUUUAAAACACCACCAACACAUUCAUACUGGAGAGAGGCCGUACAGCUGUGGCCAAUUUGGAAAAGCUUUCACAAGAGAAGAUCAUCUAAAAGUCCACCAACUCAGUCAUACUAGAGAGAAACCAUACUGGUGUGAUCAAUGUGGGAAAACUUUCACUACAAACUGUGCUCGAAAACUCCACCAAUUCAUUCAUACUGGAGAGAAACCAUACAGCUGUGUGGAAUGUGGAAAAGCUUUCACUCAAGUCAGUGGUCUAAAAAUGCAUCAACUCAUUCAUACUGGAGAGAAGCUGUACUGGUGUGAGAACCUUCACUCAAGGCAGUCAUCUAAAAACCCGCCAACACUCAGCAUGGUGUUGAACAUGUUUUACAGGCUGUCUCCUCUCAGUGCCUUUAAUAACAGUAUUGUUCUAUCCUGAGCUUCUCUACAAACUGAGGGCUGCCAACAGUAACAUUAGAAUCAGCAUGUAUGCCAUGUGUGGCGCAUGUGACCGAAUUUAAAGCUCAGUUAUUGGCUAUUUCUUGCAGAAAUGCAUCUUGGGAGUCGUAGUUAACUUCUACCCUUAAAGGUUUUUAUUUUAUUUUUGUUUCAUUUGUUUUUUUUUUCAAUUCCAUGUUGAUCCAAGUCGUACAAGUGCUCAAACUGUAUCAGGUAACAUUGUCUUUGGGGAAAAACGAACAGUAUUUUACACCCAAAAUACCUCCUCCCGCCUCGCAAAUCUAUAGAUCUAAUUCUAAGAUCUCCGGUUGAUUUGGGUGUGUGAACCCUUUUUGUGCUUUGGGCUGUCAGGAUUCAAGAUAGCAAUGAUGUUUGGAAGUCCCUUAUUAAAAAUAAUCAAUGAGGGAUUUGCAACCCUGUUUCUACUUCAGACUUGUGUGGAUAACUACAGGACAGAACUAUGAACAGACAAUGACAAUGGACUGAAGCUGCUCUUGCUUUGAUGGAGUUGUUGAUGGAGUGAGGGUGAGCAGUUGAUACAUGUAUAAAAAAAACAUAUACAUAAACUGCAUACCAGUCAUCAUGUCAGCAGUUGAGCCGAACUGAACGAGCAAAAGGACUUUUGAUGAUAAAGAUAUCUCAUCACUUUUUAAGUCAUUUUAAGAUAGUGAACAGAGCAGAAAUGGUAAACAGGUUCAGAUCAUUACAGUCCGAGUUGUCCACACCUCCUUGUUGUUCUGCUUCAGUGCUGGAAUAUAAGUACUGCACUGAACUACUGCUAUUAUGUGCCCGAGGUGCACCCCACCCAAACCUACCUCUCAACUAAAUUUCUGUAACGAUUCAAUUAAAAUUUGUAAAUAACUAAUACAUGGAUGGAAAAAUUGUCAUUUUGAGCUGAGCUGUAGCUGGACUCUUGUGCAAGUGCAACCCAACGCCCCGACUAAUGGUAGAACAGCAGGAAGCCUGUGGCCUUCGAAACGAGCUGUGGUUUCUGCACCUGACUGACACCUCUGCAUCUGUAACCUUUAACCGUUACGACCUUGAAGUGUAAAAAUAUAUCUUAUGUGUUCUAUGAAUUGUGAUGUGUGAUGCAAACAAAUAAAUAUCUAAUAGUU